rnacentral:rRNA from 1 species
UACGUAGGGGGGCUAGCGUUGUCCGGAAUCAUUGGGCGUAAAGCGCGCGUAGGCGGCCCAGUAAGUCCGUUGUAAAAGUCAAAGGCUCAACCUUUGAAAGCCGAUGGAUACUGCUGGGCUAGAGUCCGGAAGAGGCGAGUGGAAUUCCUGGUGUAGCGGUGGAAUGCGCAGAUAUCAGGAGGAACACCGAUGGCGAAGGCAGGUCUCUGGGCCAUAACUGACGCUGAGAAGCGAAAGCAUGGGGAGCGAACAGG